GACGAACCGUGCGAACGUUGUUCGGAAUCACUGGGCUUAAAGGGCGCGUAGGCGGGCUGCCAAGUUUGGGGUGAAAUCCCGCGGCUCAACCGUGGAACUGCCUCAAAUACUGACGGCCUCGAGGAAGGUAGGGGCAUGCGGAACUGUAGGUGGAGCGGUGAAAUGCGUUGAUAUCUACAGGAACUCCGGUGGCGAAAGCGGCGCGCUGGACCUUUUCUGACGCUGAGGCGCGAAAGCUAGGGGAGCAAACGGG
rnacentral:rRNA from 1 species